GCCGCGGUAGUUCAGCGGCUAGAACAUCCAUGACUACUGUGGAAGACCUGGGUUCGAAUCCUGGCUGUGGCU